UUUAACUUGUUUGUAUUUAUUUUUUAGGUACGGUCCAGCAGUUGCUGAAGCUACAAACAAUUCUAUGGGAGCUGCGGGGUUAGUUUUACAGACGUGCUGGAACGUAGAAAAUCUAGGAAUCAAAGCUCUUGCCAAACGAACUGCGAAAGACACAGGAAAAGAAGUGGUUAAAGAGGCGGAGAAGAAGUACAUUACCGAUGGGAAACAAUAAAACUGCUGUAUAAAAAGUGACAUCUACGGGGCAUGUCAACAACAGCACUUUUUCAAAGACGAAAAUUGUAUACAAAACGUAUUCUAAGUUAGUGGAAUGAGUAAUAAAUUAGCUUUAGUUUUUUCCAGGAUUUAUAAGCUUCCACAGGGUGAUGCUAAAAUAGAAAUAAAAGAAUAUAAAAUUUUAUGGAGGCUACGUAUGAGGUUGGGUGAGAAUUUGUAUGAGUACUGAGAAAAAUUCCUAUGAAUAAAUAGUCCACGUUUUGUAAUCUUUGUAUAAUUUGAAUAAAGUUAAAUUUUCUUGCAUCA